CCUACGGGAGGCAGCAGUGAGGAAUAUUGGUCAAUGGGCGCGAGCCUGAACCAGCCAAGUAGCGUGAAGGAAGACUGCCCUACGGGUUGUAAACUUCUUUUAUAAAGGAAUAAAGUGAGGCACGUGUGCCUUUUUGUAUGUACUUUAUGAUUAAGGAUCGGCUAACUACGUGCCAGCAGCCGCGGUAAUACGGAGGUGCCGAGCGUUAUCCGGAUUUAUUGGGUUUAAAGGGAGCGUAGAUGGGUUGUUAAGUCAGUCGUGAAAGUUUGCGGCUCAACCGUAAGAUUGCAAUUGAUACUGGCAGUCUUGAGUACAGUUGAGGUAGGCGGAAUUCGUGGUGUAGCGGUGAAAUGCGUAGAUAUCACGAAGAACACCGGUUGCGAAGGCAGCUUACUAAACUGCAACUGACAUUGAGGCUCGAAAGUGUGGGUAGCAAACAGGAUUAGAUACCCGAGUAGUC
rnacentral:rRNA from 1 species